rnacentral:rRNA from 1 species
GAUGAACGCUAGCUACCGGCUUAACACAUGCAAGUCGAGGGGAAACGAUAUUGGAAGCUUGCUUCCGAUAGGCGUCGACCGGCGCACGGGUGAGUAACGCGUAUCCAACCUGCCCAUCACUUGGGGAUAACCUUGCGAAAGUAAGACUAAUACCCAAUGACGUCUCUAGAAGACAUCUGAAAGAGAUUAAAGAUUUAUCGGUGAUGGAUGGGGAUGCGUCUGAUUAGCUUGUUGGCGGGGUAACGGCCCACCAAGGCGACGAUCAGUAGGGGUUCUGAGAGGAAGGUCCCCCACAUUGGAACUGAGACACGGUCCAAACUCCUACGGGAGGCAGCAGUGAGGAAUAUUGGUCAAUGGACGUGAGUCUGAACCAGCCAAGUAGCGUGCAGGAUGACGGCCCUAUGGGUUGUAAACUGCUUUUAUAAGGGAAUAAAGUGAGCCUCGUGAGGCUUUUUGCAUGUACCUUAUGAAUAAGGACCGGCUAAUUCCGUGCCAGCAGCCGCGGUAAUACGGAAGGUCCGGGCGUUAUCCGGAUUUAUUGGGUUUAAAGGGAGCGUAGGCCGGAGAUUAAGCGUGUUGUGAAAUGUAGGCGCUCGACGUCUGCACUGCAGCGCGAACUGGUUUUCUUGAGUACGCACAAAGUGGGCGGAAUUCGUGGUGUAGCGGUGAAAUGCUUAGAUAUCACGAAGAACUCCGAUUGCGAAGGCAGCUCACUGGAGCGCAACUGACGCUGAAGCUCGAAAGUGCGGGUAUCGAACAGG